UUGAACGCUGGCGGCAGGCCUAACACAUGCAAGUCGAGCGGUAGCACAGAGAGCUUGCUCUCGGGUGACGAGCGGCGGACGGGUGAGUAAUGUCUGGGAAACUGCCUGAUGGAGGGGGAUAACUACUGGAAACGGUAGCUAAUACCGCAUAACGUCGCAAGACCAAAGUGGGGGACCUUCGGGCCUCAUGCCAUCAGAUGUGCCCAGAUGGGAUUAGCUAGUAGGUGGGGUAACGGCUCACCUAGGCGACGAUCCCUAGCUGGUCUGAGAGGAUGACCAGCCACACUGGAACUGAGACACGGUCCAGACUCCUACGGGAGGCAGCAGUGGGGAAUAUUGCACAAUGGGCGCAAGCCUGAUGCAGCCAUGCCGCGUGUGUGAAGAAGGCCUUCGGGUUGUAAAGCACUUUCAGCGGGGAGGAAGGCGAUAAGGUUAAUAACCUUGUCGAUUGACGUUACCCGCAGAAGAAGCACCGGCUAACUCCGUGCCAGCAGCCGCGGUAAUACGGAGGGUGCAAGCGUUAAUCGGAAUUACUGGGCGUAAAGCGCACGCAGGCGGUCUGUCAAGUCGGAUGUGAAAUCCCCGGGCUCAACCUGGGAACUGCAUUCGAAACUGGCAGGCUAGAGUCUUGUAGAGGGGGGUAGAAUUCCAGGUGUAGCGGUGAAAUGCGUAGAGAUCUGGAGGAAUACCGGUGGCGAAGGCGGCCCCCUGGACAAAGACUGACGCUCAGGUGCGAAAGCGUGGGGAGCAAACAGGAUUAGAUACCCUGGUAGUCCACGCCGUAAACGAUGUCGAUUUGGAGGUUGUGCCCUUGAGGCGUGGCUUCCGGAGCUAACGCGUUAAAUCGACCGCCUGGGGAGUACGGCCGCAAGGUUAAAACUCAAAUGAAUUGACGGGGGCCCGCACAAGCGGUGGAGCAUGUGGUUUAAUUCGAUGCAACGCGAAGAACCUUACCUGGUCUUGACAUCCACAGAACUUUCCAGAGAUGGAUUGGUGCCUUCGGGAACUGUGAGACAGGUGCUGCAUGGCUGUCGUCAGCUCGUGUUGUGAAAUGUUGGGUUAAGUCCCGCAACGAGCGCAACCCUUAUCCUUUGUUGCCAGCGGUUAGGCCGGGAACUCAAGGGAGACUGCCAGUGAUAAACUGGAGGAAGGUGGGGAUGACGUCAAGUCAUCAUGGCCCUUACGACCAGGGCUACACACGUGCUACAAUGGCAUAUACAAAGAGAAGCGACCUCGCGAGAGCAAGCGGACCUCAUAAAGUAUGUCGUAGUCCGGAUUGGAGUCUGCAACUCGACUCCAUGAAGUCGGAAUCGCUAGUAAUCGUAGAUCAGAAUGCUACGGUGAAUACGUUCCCGGGCCUUGUACACACCGCCCGUCACACCAUGGGAGUGGGUUGCAAAAGAAGUAGGUAGCUUAACCUUCGGGAGGGCGCUUACCACUUUGUGAUUCAUGACUGGGGUG
rnacentral:rRNA from 1 species